GCACCACCGGCGGACGGCUCAGUAACACGUCGGUAACCUACCCUCGGGAGGGGGAUAACCCCGGGAAACUGGGGCUAAUUCCCCAUAGGCCUGAGGUACUGGAAGGUCCUCAGGCCGAAAGGGACUUAUGUCCGCCCGAGGAUGGGCCGGCGGCCGAUUAGGUAGUUGGUGGGGUAAUGGCCCACCAAGCCGAAGAUCGGUACGGGCUGUGAGAGCAGGAGCCCGGAGAUGGACACUGAGACACGGGUCCAGGCCCUACGGGGCGCAGCAGGCGCGAAACCUCCGCAAUGCGGGAAACCGCGACGGGGGGACCCCGAGUGCCGUGGCAACGCCACGGCUUUUCCGGAGUGUAAAAAGCUCCGGGAAUAAGGGCUGGGCAAGGCCGGUGGCAGCCGCCGCGGUAAUACCGGCGGCCCGAGUGGUGGCCGCUAUUAUUGGGCCUAAAGCGUCCGUAGCCGGGCCCGUAAGUCCCUGGCGAAAUCCCACGGCUCAACCGUGGGGCUUGCUGGGGAUACUGCGGGUCUUGGGACCGGGAGAGGCGGGGGGUACCCCUGGGGUAGGGGUGAAAUCCUAUAAUCCCAGGGGGACCGCCAGUGGCGA
rnacentral:rRNA from 1 species